rnacentral:lncRNA from 1 species
GGGAAGUGACUGGUAGCAGGACUAUAUAAAUACUUAGUAACUAGGCUACAGUUGAAGUCAGAAGAUUACAUACACUUAGGUUGGAGUCAUUAAAAAUUGUUUUUGAACCACUCCACAAAUGUCUUGUUAACAAACUAUAGUUUGUGCCCUCUGCCCUUCUCCAUGGAGGAGAUGUUUGGGUUCAUUAGCUGCAGGUUCUCAGGAUACCCAGCCUCUGUGCAGGAGCAGGCUCUGCUCUGGCUGCAUGUGUCGUCUCCUUCAGACAUGAGCCGGUCGUCAGAGCAGAUGUUGAGCAGAAUCCCAGUGGAGAGAGGGGAACCGACCAGGCAGAGACAGCAGGGGCGGUUCGUUGCUCCAGAGCCUUUCUGUUCACCUUCCCACUCCUGGGCCAGACUACACUCAAUCAUAUGACCCACUGAAGAGCUGAGUCUACAGUAAAGACUUAAAGGUUGAGACCCAGUCUGCGUCUCUCACAUGGGAAGGCAGACCAUUCUAUAAAAAUGGAGCUCUAUAGGAGAAUGCCCUGCCUCCAGCUGUUUGCUCAGAAAUUCUAGGGACAAUUAGGUGGCCUGCAUCUUGUGGCCGUAGCGUACGUGUAGGUAUGUACGGCAGGACCAAAUCGGAAAGAUGGGUAGGAGCAAGCCCAUGUAAUGCUUUGUAGGUUAGCAGUAAAACCUUGAAAUCUGCCCUUGCCUUAACAGGAAGCCAGUGUAGGGUGGCUAGUGUUGGUGUUGUGCCUGGCCAUGCAGUCAUGAGUGAACAGGGAGUACAGGAGGGGACUGAGCAUGCACCCCUGAGGGGCCCCUGUGUUGAGGAUCAGCGUGGCAGAUGUGCUGUUACCUACCCUUACCACCUGGGCGCCGCCCGUCAGGAAGUCCAGAAUCCAGUUGCAGAGGGAGGUGUUUAGUCCCAGGGUCCUUAGCUUAGUAAUGAGUUUUGAGGGCACUAUGAGGUUGAACGUUGGGCUGUAGUAAAUUUAAUAGUUCUCACAUAGAUUUUCCUUUUGUCCAGGUGGGAAAGGGCAGUUUGGACUGCAAUAGAGAUGCAUCAUCUGUGGAUCUGUUUGGGUGGUAUGCAAAUGGUAGUGGGUCUAGGGUUUCUGGGAUAAUGGUGUUGAUGUGAGCCAUGACCAGCCUUUCAAAGCACUUUAUAGCUACAGACAUGAGUGCUACGGGUCGGUUGUCAUUUAAGCAGGUUACUUUGGUGUUCUUGAGCACAGGGACUAUGAUGGUCUGCUUGAAACAUGUUGGUAUUCCAGACUCUUGUGAGGAACAGGUUGAAAAUGUCAGCGAAGACAUGCCAGUUGGUCAACGCAUGCUCGGAGUACCUGUCCUGGUAAUCUGUCUGGCCCUGCGACCUUGUGAAUGUUAACCUGUUUUAAGGUCUUACAUCGGCUACGGAGAGUGUGAUCACAGUCAUCCGGAACAGCUGGUGCUCUCAUACAUGAUUAUGUGCUGCUUGCCUCAAAGCACGCAUAGAAGUAAUUUAGCUCGUCUGGUAGGCUUGUAUCACUGGGCAGCUUGCGGCUGUGCUUCCCUUUUGUAGUCCGUAAUAGUUUGCAAGCCCUGCCACAUCUGACUAGUUUCGAAGCCAGUGUAGUAGGAUUCAAUCUUAGUCCUGUAUUGACACUUUGCCUGUUUGAUGGUUCAUCGGAGGACAUAGCAGGAUUUCUUAGCGUCCGGGUUAAAAUCCCGCUCCUUGAACGCGGCAGCUCUACCCCUUAGCUCAGUGCGGCUGUUGCCUGUAAUCUGUGGCUUCUUAUUGGGGUAUGUAUGUACGGCUACUGUGGGGAGAAUGUCAUCGAUGCACUUAUUGAUGAAGCCUGUGACUGAUGUGGUAUACUCCUCAAUGCCAUUGAAGAAUCCCAGAGCAUGCUGGUAAAAUGUAUUUAAGUUUCCCUGUAUUAAAGUCACUGCUUCUGGAUGAGCAUUUUCUUGUUUGCUUAUGGCCUUGUACAGCUCGAGUGCGGUCUUAGUGCCAGCAUUGGUUUGUGGUGGUAAAUAGACAGCUACGAAAAAUAUAGAUGACAACUUUCUUGGUAAAUAGUGUGGUCUACAGCUAAUCAUGAGAUACUCCACCUCAGGCGAGCAAAACCUCAAGACUUCCUUAAUAUUUGAUUUUGUGCACCAGCUGUUAUUGACAAAUAGACACAGACCGCCACCUCUUGUCUUACCGGAGGCAGCUGUUCUAUCUUGCAGAUGGGUCGAAAAUCCAGCCAGCUGUAUGUUAUCCAUGUCGUCGUUCAGCCACAACUCGGUGAAGCAUAAGAUAUUAUAGUUUUUAAUGUCCCGUUGGUAGGAUAGUCUUGAUCGGAGCUCAUCCAGUUUAUUAUCUAAUGAUUGCACGUUGGCUAAUAGGACGGAUGGUAGAGGCGGAUUACCCACUUGCCGUCGGACCCUUACAAGACACCCCGACCUAUGUCCCCUAUAUCUCUGUCUCUUCUUCAUGCGAAUGACAGGGAUUUGGGCCUUGUCCGGUGUCUGAAGUAAAUCCUUGGCUUUUGACUCAUUAAAGAAAAAAAUCUUUCUCCGUGGAGAACAAUCCACGUCCCGGGUGGCUCACAUCUUUGGAAAAUGUUCAUCCCUUUCUCAGACACCGCCUAGCAUGUACGUCCUGGAUGACUGGAAGCUCACCCCCAGUGAUGCGCUGGGCCAUCCGCACCACCCAAUUAGCAAGGAACUGCUAGUCUCAACAGUCUGCUCAUGUCAGGACUGAGUACCGUAUACCCCGUACAGCAACUGGAGAUUGUAAGGAUGGGGACCAUAUUAUACAUUUUUUGGGGCAGUGAGGAGAGGAAUUUUGAGAUUCUCUGUAUUGUACUGCUGCCUUCCAUUGAAGGCCGAAAUAAGCACAUCUAUACAUAAGCAGACAGUUGGUUAACACUGCCUGCUAAACCAAUUCAUGCAUUAUUCAAGAGUCAUCCACUCAGCUAUUUGCUACGUGAUUUGCAGUGCA